rnacentral:rRNA from 1 species
UACGUAGGUCCCGAGCGUUGUCCGGAUUUAUUGGGCGUAAAGCGAGCGCAGGUGGUUUAUUAAGUCUGGUGUAAAAGGCAGUGGCUCAACCAUUGUAUGCAUUGGAAACUGGUAGACUUGAGUGCAGUAGAGGAAAGUGGAAUUCCUAGUGUAGCGGUGGAAUGCGUAGAUAUCAGGAGGAACACCGGCGGCGAAGGCGGCCUGCUGGACCGUGACUGACGUUGAGGCUCGAGAGCGUGGGGAGCAAACAGG